AAAACAUGGCCUUGUCCAAAGAAUGGCACAACUAAAAUCUCCCCCAUAAUUUCCUCCAUGUUUAUGGCUUUCUUUGUUCUUGUAUUUAUGCAGUGCUCAAGCCAGCUUGAAAUCAGUGGUGGAGCCGCGUGAGGAUUUAAUUGAAUAUCCUUCGCCAAAUAGUUAUAAUGCAUAAGAUGCAAAUAUUCCUUCAAGUUCAAUUUCAACAUCUGGGACUAGUGCUUUGGAUGAUAAUGAUGGUGUUGAAGAUUAUUUGAUUUGGUCUACAAUAAGGGAGCAUAAACAAACCAGUAGCAGGAAUAUUGAUGAACUUCAAUUCUACUUCCAAAAGUCAGCAGAGCCUUGCACAAAGAAAUUUCUACCACUGGGUUGGUGGAGGAGCAACUCAAAUCAAUUUCAUGUUCUUUCGGUCAUGGCUCGAGACGUGCUAAAUGUGACUAUUUCAAUAGUCGCAUCAGAGAGCGCAUUUAGCCAAGCAAGGCAGCAACUAGGAGAUACCCGUUAUUCAUUCGGUAGCAACGCUUUGAAAAUUCUAGUGUGCUUCAGAGAUUGGAUAAGAUCAGAACGACGAAAUCAAGGGCGUGACGAGCUAGAUGAAGCGGAGGACCAAGAAAUUGGAGAUAUAAUGGUUUAUGAUUCUGAUUCAACCAAUGUCGGAAAUCAAGAACCUCAUGUUGACAUGGAUGAACUUACAAAAAUGAUGCA